ensembl:lncRNA
GGGUUUUGACAAGCUUCAGCAUGUCUGCUUUUCCAAAAAGGAGUCAUGAUUGAACGAUCAUAAGCGUUUCCAGUGUAAAAAUGAUUUUUUUUAAAUUGCAAUUUUAUUAACUGUGGUAUGUGUACCAUCUCAAUCAGGUAUUUCCCUUAUAAUGUUUAGACUGCUGUUAGGAAUGAGGGAUGUGGUUAAAGGGUUCGGAGAACAUACCUCACUUUGGAUCGACGUUAUUAGCCUUAACUGUUCGCAUGUGUGCCGUUCGAACUCAUUCGAAGUCGCUGAUUUAGUGCUUCGCAUGUCCUUACUCUGAAGCAUCACAUUCCUGCUUGAAACAAACGGAAAUCGGCUAGAUGUUAUUUUCAGUUCAUCUCCAUGGAAGUUUAUACUUUUAGUGCUUUCUUCUUUAUUGCUUUGGUUUUGAUUGCAAGCACAAAUUGAGUAGAUUGGGGACUUUAGUUGGGUGUAGAUUUGUCCAAAGGAACACUCCGUGUAUAUCUGUGUGAUUCAGAUUGUUUCGUGUGCAGAGGAGGUAAAAGUACACUGAUUUUUUUUUUAAAUGCAUAAGCUGGUACAAGUGGACGUAGAGCUGCAAAGUCUUUACAGAUGUUCAAGUAAAAGUAGAAAGGUUUCUGCAUAGGGGUCCUUCAGUUUCCUUCCACCUUCCAGAAACAUGCCAGUAGGUGGAUUAGCUAUUCUAACUUACCUCCAGGUCCUGCACAUUGUUUACUUUUCCAGCAACUUGUGCAUAUUUGAGUCCUUUCCAACAGCGGCUAUAUGAUGUUGAGACCCGUCUUUUCACACUGAGGACGACUGAGGGACUCGUCUCAUACACGACUAUUACAAAAGGUGCAAACGUUCACUGAUGAUCAAGAAGGCAACCUGAAAAGAACAGAAUGGUUAACGCUGUGUAUUAGAUCCAAAUGCAAGUUCAGGAGUUAGCGCUACUCGAUGCCUACUGUACACUGUCCCUCACUGAAGCAGAAACCGGAUCUAAAGCCGUGCUGAAUGAUACUGAAUACUUAAAAUGCAGUUCGUUAGGAAAGUUGAAUUCUAUCUAGAUGUAUUUUCCUCCCCUUGAAGAGACAUUUGGAAGGCAUAAUGCUACAAAAAGAACUAUUCAGACUAAUCCAGACGCGACUGCAGCACUUGUACUUGCCAUGAUAUACACCAAUCUGCUUUGACAUACUGUUUAGUAAAGUAGUCUGCGGUUUUGGACACUUCUCCUGGGAUAGAAGAGGAUCUGUCGUGCUUACAUCCUUCAGUUCGAAUGAAAUUGCUGUCACUAAGUCUGCUGGAUCCCAUCUGAUCAGCCAGGCACACUUGGCCCAUCUCUCAAGGUUGCAAUCUCACUAAAAGAAAAUAAAAGUGUACGUUGCUUUUGUAGUUUGGUCACACGGCCCUGCAGUGUUUGUGUUGCUGUAGGGUCUGUAAAUCAGCCUUAAUGCUCUUAUUAAAUUGAAUAAUUCAUCAUGCAAAGAUCCCCAAAUUUUACAUCAUGUUGAACUAAUUACUAAGUGACUUUGCCUACAGCCUUACAAAGUCAAAGCAGGAUGUUUACAUGGACGCGUUGAGUGUGUUUCAUUAAAAACACAGCCAUGAUCCUUCUGGAUGCAUUAUGCAGAUUUUGGUCAAACAUAACGAUGAAAUUAUUGAAAAGAAAAAGUAUGGAUA